GCGGAGGAAAAGAAACUAACCAGGAUUGCCUCAGUAAGGGCGACUGAAGGGGCAAGAGCUCAUGUUGUGAAUCUGCGGCCGAAUUGUGGUUUCACUUGUGUCAAGGGCUGGGCCAAGUCCAUUGGAAUAUGGCAGCUGAGAGGGUGAAACUCCCGUUGGCCUAGCUUUGGAACAAGUGCAUCAGAGUCGAGUUGUUUGGGAUUGCAGCUCAAAGUGGGUGGUAAAUUCCAUCGAAAGCUAAACACUGGUGGGAAACCGAUAGCGUACAAGUACCGUGAGGGAAAGAUGCAAAGAAGCGCGAAAGCGCUGUCAAAGAGUACCUGAACUUGCUGAAACGGAAGCAAAGAAAACCAGUGCCAGCUGUGCCAUACUUCUCCAGCUGCUUGCGGUUGGGGCGCUGUGGCCGGUGUUGCCAAGGUUUGUUGAGUGAUGUGGAAAAGCCUAGAAAGAGAUGAUUUCUUUUUGC
rnacentral:rRNA from 1 species